rnacentral:tRNA from 1 species
ACUUAAAUAGCUUAUUUAAUAGAGUGUGACACUGAAGAUGUCAAGGAGGCAAAUUUGCCUUUAAGUA